rnacentral:rRNA from 1 species
GGUGAACGCUGGCGGCGUGCCUAAUACAUGCAAGUCGAGCGAGUGGAUUAAGAGCUUGCUCUUAUGAAGUUAGCGGCGGACGGGUGAGUAACACGUGGGUAACCUGCCCAUAAGACUGGGAUAACUCCGGGAAACCGGGGCUAAUACCGGAUAACAUUUUGAACCGCAUGGUUCGAAAUUGAAAGGCGGCUUCGGCUGUCACUUAUGGAUGGACCCGCGUCGCAUUAGCUAGUUGGUGAGGUAACGGCUCACCAAGGCAACGAUGCGUAGCCGACCUAGGAGGGUGAUCGGCCACACGGGGACUGAGACACGGCCCAGACUCCGACGGGGGGCAGCAGUAGGGAAUCUUCCGCAAUGGACGAAAGUCUGACGGAGCAACGCCGCGUGAGUGAUGAAGGCUUUCGGGUCGUAAAACUCUGUUGUUAGGGAAGAACAAGUGCUAGUUGAAUAAGCUGGCACCUUGACGGUACCUAACCAGAAAGCCACGGCUAACUACGUGCCAGCAGCCGCCGUAA